GUCAGUUAGUAAGGGUCUUGGUCUUGAGUGUCAAAGGUCUUGGUCUUGGAUUUGAUGGUUAAGGAUCUUGGUCUUGUCUUGAUGUUGGUUGAUACGGGUCUUUGUCUUGUUUUGAUGUGGGCUGGUAAGGGACUUUUGUUGCUUUGGUGUAGGUUCAUAUGGCCAUUAGUCUUGUAUUGUUGGUUGGUAAGGACCUUUUCUUGUCUUGGUUGUUGUGGGUUUUGGUCUCAUUUUGUUGUCAGUUGGCAAGGGUCUUGUUUUGGUGUUGGUUAGUAUGGGCCUUGAUCUUGUUUUUGGUGUUAGUUGGUAAAGAUCUUGUCUUGUAUUGGUUGUUGAGGGUCUUGAUCUUGGUCUGGUGUAGGCUGGUAUGGGACUUGUUUUGGUGUCAGUUGGUAAGGUCAUUGGUCUUGUUUUGGUGUCAGGUGGUAUGGGUAUUGGUCUUGUUUUGGUGUCAGUUGGUAAGGGUAUUGGUCUUGUUUUGGUGUCAGUUGGUAAGGGUAUUGGUCUUGUUUUGGUGUCAGUUGGUAAGGGUCUUGUUCUCAAAUUCAAAUUGUAUUGGUCACAUAGACAUACGACGUGCAGUAAAAUGCGUUGUACGACUGUCAGCGAUGGUCUUGACCAUUUAAGGUCUUGGGUCUUCUCCAUACUAAGAUGGUCAUGAUUACAACACUGCAAUGAAACCUGUCUUGAAGCCUUCUGGGUCUUGUUAUACACUGUUCUUCUUUUCAUCCAAUCCUAUAAUUAAAUUAUGUCCUCC
ensembl:lncRNA